CCCCUCAUAGCUUCAAAAGUAUUAUCUUCCACAUCUAUUCAAUCACCUGAGAUUUUUUAGGAUGCUUUCAGUGAUGCUGAGGGAUGACUACAAUCACAGCUUGCAGGAAAAACUCCAAGAAGAGCAAUAUCCAGAAAAAGAUCCUUCCCCAGUGGCAGUCAGCCCUUAAAUGGGGUCCAGGAGAGGUGGAGCCAGGCUCCAGCCCUUCCAGUCACACAGGUCAAGAAUCAUUUUUCAACAGUAAGGAAAAACAGCAGUUGAAUGGGAGGACAAGCAGAAUUUUACACGCAGCCUGAUGGAGAACUGGCUUACAUCCAACCCUGAACGACGGCACGUGUUAGGAGCUGCCCUUCCCAGAACUCUGUUCUCUAUGUCCUUCCCCAGUCGGGAGCUGAGAUCUGUGGGAACUUCCUGAGCAGAGUUGGCUGAAAUGAAGUUCUAAGACUGGAGAGUUCACACCGCCGGCAAGGCAAGCGGGGGGAAAGAUACAAGUGGUACGGUGGAGAUCACGGACCGAGGAGCUAUAUAUUCGUGGCCUUGUUGGAAAGGUUCAUUUUGCACUGGAGCAAUUAAAGAGAGUAACGGAGUUACUUGCAGCACCCGCAGCCGCCGGCACGAGCCUCCCCACAGCUGCGUUGCACGCGACGCCUGCACCUGCCGCGGCCAGUCCGGGGCGCCCUUCAGCACCGCUCCUCGCCACGCG
ensembl:lncRNA